CCUACGGGAGGCUGCAGUGGGGAAUAUUGCACAAUGGGGGAAACCCUGAUGCAGCGACGCCGCGUGAGUGAAGAAGUAUUUCGGUAUGUAAAGCUCUAUCAGCAGGGAAGAAAAUGACGGUACCUGUUUAAGAAGCCCCGGCUAACUACGUGCCAGCAGCCGCGGUAAUACGUAGGGGGCAAGCGUUAUCCGGAUUUACUGGGUGUAAAGGGAGCGUAGACGGCAGCACAAGUCUGGAGUGAAAUGCCGGGGCUUAACCCCGGAACUGCUUUGGAAACUGUGCAGCUAGAGUGCAGGAGAGGUAAGUGGAAUUCCUAGUGUAGCGGUGAAAUGCGUAGAUAUUAGGAGGAACACCAGUGGCGAAGGCGGCUUACUGGACUGUAACUGACGUUGAGGCUCGAAAGCGUGGGGAGCAAACAGGAUUAGAUACCCCAGUAGUC
rnacentral:rRNA from 1 species